CACGUGGCUAACCUUCCCUUGGGACGGGAUAACCCCGGGAAACUGGGAUUAAUCCCCGAUAGGCGAGAAGUCCUGGAAUGGUUUUUCACCUAAAAGAUUUUGGAGGCAUGCGCUCCAAAAUCGCCCAAGGAUGGGGCCGCGGCCGAUCAGGUUGUUGGUGAGGUAAUGGCUCACAAAGCCUAUAACCGGUACGGGCCAUGAGAGUGGUAGCCCGGAGAUGGGCACUGAGACAAGGGCCCAGGCCCUACGGGGCGCAGCAGUCGCGAAACCUCCGCAAUGCGCGAAAGCGUGACGGGGCUACCCUGAGUGCUGUCCGCUGAGGAUGGCUUUUCUCUGGUGUAAUGAGCCAGAGGUAAUAAGGGGAGGGCAAGACUGGUGUCAGCCGCCGCGGUAAUACCAGCUCCCCGAGUGGUAGGGAUGAUUAUUGAGCCUAAAGCGUUCGUAGCCUGCUUGUCAAGUCUUCCGUUAAACCCAGCGACCUAAUCGUUGGUGUGCGGGAGAUACUGUCAGGCUAGGAGGCGGGAGAAGCCGACGGUAUUCUAGGGGUAGGGGUGAAAUCCUAUAAUCC
rnacentral:rRNA from 1 species